CACGCCAUUUUCACCUCCAUAUUCUCUCAAGCUCUUAAAUUUUUCUUCAAAGAAAAUUCAUAGAUUUUGGGUACGUUUGGGUGGAUUUUUAAUCCUAAGCAUCUUUAGAGGAAGGGAGUUUGAUCCAAGAAGGUUUUUAAAGUGUUGGAUUGCUCUUGUAUAAGGUAACAGGUGAAAUGCGGUCAUUUGGAUCAUCACGCAGCGGAAAGGGUUGGGCAAAACUGUCAAGCUAAUAUUUUGAGACUUAUUUGUAUUAUGUAAAGUUUUGUGUAUAAAGAAAAUUAAAUAUGGGCCUAU